UCUUGUGCGGUUCAGGUCGGGUCGUCGAGGCCUGAUUCAAAACGACGUCGUUUUGGGAUUUAUGGACUCAGGCCAGAACAAUGUCGUUCUGACCCUCUAUUUAAGUUAAAAAUCCGAAAAAAAAAAUCAUUUCAGCUUAGUUUAAAAAAAAUGAAAACCCUCUUUUUUUUUCUCUGAAAGCCAUUCCCCAUCCGGCCAAGAACCGUUGGACCCUCAUCGUGGCCGUCGGCCGCCAACGACUCCCAAAAUCCCUUUUAAACCCCCUUUUAGCCUAGAACCCCAAUUUGGAGUCGAACAUUCUAGAUUCAAGCCAAAACUCUCAAAAAAGAGAAGACCUUUCAACUCUCGAUGCCCUCCGCCGCGGCCUUGGCUGAAUCCCCAGGGAUUCGACGGCCUUUCAGACCAGAGGGGACACUGACUGUGGCGCGAAGGCGAAAAGGCAAGUAAGGUUUUAAUUUUUUUUAUUAUAUUUUAUUUGCUUCGAAAGUAAAAAUCAGAAGAUAAAAAAAACUACCUUUUUGAAACUUGAUGCUUUUUUUGUAUUUUUCUAUAAAAAAAAAGUUACAAUAUGUGGUAUUGGCCUUUAUAGUCAUGAGUUACAUAUUGCUUGUUAUUAUUUUUAUUUGUUUUUUGCACUUUCUUCGCUAUUUUCUUGUUGUUUUUGCUUCUGUCUUUUUUUUUUCUUUGCAAGUGGCGGUGGAGGGUCAACAGAGAGGAAAGAAGCCUGCCCUUUGCCAUUUUGGUGAAACGAAGGCAAAGGCGCAUCAGGCCUCGAGACGAGGAGCAUGCUGACGUGGCCAAGGGCAGCGGCACAGGGGCUUUAGGGUUUUUUAUUUUUACUGAAAAAUGUUUAGGUUGUGGGCCCGUAAUUAAGUCUUAGGGUUUUUUUAAUUCAGCCUUGUAAUUUGGGCUGACAUGUUUUGUAAUUGGACUUUUGAUUUGUUUUUGGUUUUUCUUUUUGUUUGGUUUCUGUUUGGGCCCGGGCUAAAUUGGGCCUCUACAGCUACAAUAGCAACGGUACCAACUGAAUUAAAACUUAAGAGGUGGUUAAAUAUAUAUUAAUUUAUAUGGAAUUAAUUCGAACCAUAUAAGACAUUAGAUUAUGGCACACCCACAAUAUGGGUGAAAAACAUAAUUAUGUCAAAUAUAUUCAUAAAAAAUAAUAUAAACUAGAAAUCCUAUUACACUUGUAUGUGUGUGGAAACCACAAAUUUAGAACACAAACACGCAGGGCCUCGACCCCUCCCCCCCCAAAAUAGAAAUUUUAUCAUUUUGGCCCUUUAAAUUUUUAAAAAUUUUAAAUUAGUAAAGGUAAAAUUGUACUUUAGCCCCCUAAAAAUUAUAAAAAUUGAUUUAAUCCUUUAAAAAUUAUAAAGAUAUAGACAAUAUAAUUUGGCCCCCCUAAAAUUUAACAAAAACUUUUGAAUAGUUUAGUGACUUAAAUGAAAACUUUUGAAUAGUCCAAUGAUCAUUUUGUAACUUUUUAAAGUUGAGUGACCAAAACAUAAAAUUACUAUUAGUUUAAUGACCUUAGAUGCAAUUUACCCUAAAAUGAAAAAAAAAAUGAUCCACUUUCUUGCAUUCUCUUUUUUUCUCCUUUUACAUCUACUUUCUUAUCAUUCAUUUAAGACUAUAUAUCUAUGUCGCCUAUAUAAUUUAUGUAAAUCCCUUUUGGUCAAAGCAACCAACAUAUUGUCAAGAAUUAAAGAAAGCAUCAAAAUUAAAGUUCCAUAAACUUCAAGCUAACCUUGACCAUGUAGCCAAGUGGAUUGGCAAAUUAUACAAGUGAUUAAAUAAAAAUUCAUUGAACUUUCACUUGAAAGAGAUAGCUCUACCAUUCAAGAAAAUAGUUUUUGCAAGAGAUAAUGGCCCAUAAUAAACUAUCGAUCGAUCCUCUAAUGUAGAGAAGUACUUAUUUUUUAGGGCAGUCUUAGUCAAGUUUAGAACUUGUUGAGAAUGGUAUACUCAGUUAAAUGAUGAAUCUUUUAUUACAUCCAAUAUCAAAGUUCUCAUGCUUGAACGUUUCUCUUUUUUUAGUAGUCAUUUCGAGCUAUAAUAUUGGCUAAUUGACUUCUAAUGGAUGGUUUAAAGAACCAACUCAAGAAUUAUUGGUUUUUUUUUUUAAUUUCCUGGGUUCAUUUUAGUCCGAAAUUCAUGAUUGUCUCUCCUAAUAAUGUUAUCUCUAAAGUUUGAACUUGGGUUCUCUUCUUGAGAGUACAAUGUACUCAUCAUUACACCCGACAUUUGUUAGCUACAUUAAAAAGAAAAGGAAAAGUGGAUAAAAUUUUGGGUAUCAUAUUUCCAUUUGGUUCUUCAAAUGUUGGAAACUUGGCAUAAAGACCUAUUCAAUUCAGCCAAGUAAAAUAGCUCUCUUUUUUUUAUUUUUUGGAUAAAGAAAACCCUUUCAACAUCCACUCAUGUUACCAUUCUUUUCCUCCAUCUUGAUGGUUAUUUAAGCUAAAAGUUCUUCAUAACUCUAGGUAGCCUUUCCAACCAAAAAUAAUACCAAUCUUUUUUGUUGCAAUGCAAAAAUCCAAAGGCUCUUUUAUUUUCCACAUUUUAUGUAUUCCACUUUUUAAUGAAAAGAGGAUUAAAAAAAGAAAUUGAGGUGACAUUUAUUUAAAGCAUAGCAAAGCACUUGUUUCCCUCAUUGCUUACUAGAAAAAAAGAAGGGUUUUGAGUUAAUUUCCUUGACCAAAAAGCCUUCAAUUAUUAAACCUCAUUCAAAAAAAAGUUUUGGUCAAAGAUGAUCUCUUUAUCUCCUUCCAAAUUGAAUCUCCUUAAACCACUCCUGCAUUCUCCUUUAUGGCUUUUCUCCUUUUGUGGUUUGAUUAUUUCUUUUCUUAUUAGAUUAAAGUAGAAAUUAGUAUUAAAAUAGAGAUUAUGCACAAUGAACAAAUCUAUUGUAUUAUUAGAAAAAAAUCUACUUAGACACAAUUAAAGAGUGAAAUAAAUGAUUGUAGGUGUUGAUAAUUAAAUUUUAAAAUUGAUUAUGUUGAUCACUAAUAAGUGUUGGGUGUAAUGACUACGUUAAAUUGUACUUUAUAACUAGUCAGAUUAACGGUGAUGGUAAUGUAACAUCUUAUGAUGUGACGUCUUAGAAUAGUUAGUAAUCAAUGAUUCUGGGCUUCCUCACGUGCACCUCACAUAUGUUUGGCAAAGGUGGGUACUAUAUGAGGUUCGCCUCUAGUGAGGUGGAUACGCAUGAUUCGCUAGAGGGUCGACUCUUCGCUGGAGGACACGUGUUAAGCUUCACAAGGGGCACGUAUUGGAGUUUGCAAUGUAGGUAUAAUAGCACUUUUAAAAAGAGAACACAAAGUCAAAUCUGGAGUUAAUCCAUAUGACCUUUGGUCACAGCUAAUUGCUAAUUUGCUAAUAGCUUUAGAAGACAGAAUAGAGUUUAAUGAGGAAAGAAAUUUUAGUUGGUGGGUUUUAUUCUUCCAAGUUCAGAAAAAUGCUUACCACAUGAUUUAGCUAAGUAUAUUUGUAUGUUUAAAGAAAAAGGUAAUUGACCCUUACAUCUCAAGCUCUUUUUUCUUUUUAAUUUUACCCUAUUAACGGAUUUUAUUUUGUUUAUAUAAUUCAAGAAUAUAAUCUAUACUAUUAUAUUAUUAUUUUAUAUAAAAGGAAAACCCAAAAAGAUUCCCUACAUGACACGUGUCUAGGAAUUUUUUUAUAGGUAAAUUUUGGAAUUAGUCACUCAACUAUGAAAAUUUUUAAUUUAAUCACUAAUGUUUUAGAUCAUUUCUAUUUUGGUCAUGGCCUUUGUUAAUCGGUAUAAUAACACAUUUAGUUUUCAAUACUUACACAUUCUAUCAAUCUAAUCCUCAAACACAUAUAAUUAAAUAUAGAUUAUACUUGAACAUACAAUUUCAACUAAAAACUUCAACAUAAGUCUUAAUACUUUAACUACAAUUCCAACUGUCAAUCCACGGAUCUUGUGUAUACUUUGUCGUCUGGCUUAGAUUAUGAUAAUUUUGUUUCCAAUGUUCCAAGUUGUUUAAAUGGCUCUAACUGAAUUUCAAUAAAAAUAAAUUAAACGAGCUUGAAUUAUCAGCCCCUGCUAUGAGUUGAUUAUGAUGACAAUUUAACUAUACAAGUUUUUUGUUUGGUUCAAAUUAUAGAUGUUUUGUAAACAUUAACUGAGUUGCAAGUUAUGUUGUUCUAAGUUGAAACAUAAUAUAAAUACACAUGUAAAAUAUAAAAAAAAAAAAUUAAAUCAAUAUAAAGUCAUCCUACAUUAAUGCAUUUCCGACCAGUAAGUGUUGAAUACAGGACAAAACACAUUGCACUCCAAAAAAAAACGCAAAUUCAAACUUUGAAGAUGAUAUUAUUGAGAGAAGCAGCCAUGAACUCCGAACAAUACCAAAAAGAUAAUUCAAUGCAUUUCCUAACCUUUCAUAGAAAGUUAUGAAGCAUAACAACCAAAUAACUGAAUACUAUCAAAUCUGCAAAAAUGGGGUUCUAGAAUCUUCAAAAAAAUAAAAUCUAGAAAACCUAAGAGCCUUGAACAUUGUCACCAACUCAGUUUCAAGAAAAAUAUAACUCAUUGCUACAGCUAAUCUAUAAUUCAAGGUUCAAACUCAAAAACUCAAGUACAAUUACAAUUACCAUGUCCUUUUCAAGAUCAGUAAAGCCUUACCACCUAUUAUUUGGUGGUUUAACUUUAUAAAUACGAACUAUCCAGUUAGACGUCGUAAAUGCCUCUUCCAAGUGUUCUAGUUUAAUGUCUUUAUUCCCGAUUUCAACACCUCGAGCUCGAUCAUAGCUGCCGUAUCAAGAAGCAAUUGUGGGUAUUUUUUUUUUAGCAAUGUAACUAAAAUAGACAUGUAUUGUGUGGUAAAGUACCAUGGGCAAUUUAAUCCAUAUACAUUAAAUUAAAGAGUAAAUUGGUCCUUUCCGUUAAAAAUUUUAUCUAUUUAUUCUGUUAAAACUAACGUGGCUGACAGAAUAACCAGUGACAUAUGACGUGCCAUGUGCACCUCAUAUUGACGUACAAGGUCCAAUUUUUAACAGCAGAAAUGGAUGGAAUUUUAACAAAAAGACUUAUUUGCUCUUUAAUCUAAUGUAUAGGGACUAAUUUUCUCAUUUCUUAAGUAGAGGGGUAAAAUGCAAUCUAACUAGCCUACAUGUUGCUAUUACCUAUAUUGUGUGCAUAUUUGAUAUUUUAGUACAAGCAAGUUGAAAAUGCCAACUUACCCAGGAGGUUUGCCAUAUUCUGUCAUCAUCUCUCCGAACCGAUAGUACGAUAGCUUGUACCUAAUCACAUAAGUACGUAUAUGCAUGAAGAAUUUAGAACACAGAGGCAUUAGAGAGUGCUAAAGUAUGAAUAUAAACCAUCUGAGAACUUACAUGAGGCAGUUCAACAUCUUAGGAGCUGCACCUUUGUCAACGCGAUAUUCCCCAUUAACGAGGUAAUCAGGUUCCUUGAUUACGGGGAAUACUCCACCUCCAAUUCUCACCAUCCACAAAAAUCUGUUUCACAAUAAAAUGUAAUUCGAAUACAAUUACAUUAGUAUAGAUUAUAAACUUAAAUGUAAAUAUUGUCUAGACAAAUGACCAUUGACAAUGAUUUUCAAAUUCUAGAUGGUGGCAUGUAUAGUUAAUAACAGAUAUGGCUUCCUGUUCUUUUUUCAUCUUUCUCAGCUCAUGUUGGGCAGAUUUUUAUACAAUCUCUUAUGUUAGGCACACCAGACAUCUACAAUACCCGGACUUGGGGAUGAGUGCCAAAUACAGAUACAUGUCUAACAUGAGCAUGCUCAACUAUCCAAAUAUGAAUAGUGCGAAUGUUAAAGCAAAAAAUCAAGAACAAUGAACCAUUCAAUGCAUCUUUCACAAGGCCUAAUGUUUUGCAGAUAGACAAAAAUAAUGAAUGGAAUAGGAGAAAAUGAUUUCCAAUCUUACUUGUUAAUAUCAUCAGAUGAAUAACCCGUAACACCUCCGAAGACAACUAAAACAUAAUCCACAUCAAGUGAUCUUAUUAUCUCAUAUGCCUCGUCUUCAUAAGAUGACAUCGCACGCCCCACAGUAGCAAUAUGUGUAUUAUUCCAAGUGUUGUUAUCAACAAUAACAGUUCUGUUUCCCAUGGCAGUGAUUUGAUACCCGUAAUCCCACCAAGACAUCACCUUAGCAUCCGGGGGAGUAUUUUGCCGAAGCCAAAAGUAUGCCUCACGAUAAUCAUCAAAGAUAACUCUAUUCCCAUGAGCACCUCUUGCAGCCAGCACAAUUGAAGGAGAUGAAUAAGCCUCUGAAGUGACCCAUGUACAGUGGGUAGCAUACCUACUGAGCAAGUAAAAAGCACCAAAGAGCAAUGCCAUAGCUCCAUUUUUCUGGAAAGGCUGGGAUUGAUCGAGUGAAGCCUAUUUGGAAAAUAAACAAGAUUGGUUAUUUAUAGGGUACACUUGCAAACAAACCAAAAGGACCUAGAAACAUAAACUCCAUGCAUUUUCUCAAAACUCUUCUAGCGGUCCAAAAACCAUUAGGACAUGUAUAUAUAAAACUGCAUAUGAUGAAUCAGAAGCCACAAGGCAUUAAUACAAAAACUGGAAUUCAAUGUUUUAGAAGCUUUUUCAAGAGACUAAGAAAACAAAUGACAGUCAAUGGCCAUUAAUUUGGGGCAAAAGCUGCUGCUUGAUUUAAGAAACAGUUAUCUGAUUAUUAAAAAUAAAGCAUUACUUGCUAAAUGGAGUUGGAAGUUUGCUGUUGAUCAGAAGGAUUCUUUAUGAAAAAGAGUCAUUAUGGCAAAGUAUGGUUCAGAAAUGGCUUCCAGAGGAAACACUCAGAUCAACUUAGUUGACACUAAGUACUUCAUUUUACUUCCUAAUCUAGAGUGAGAAUGAUUCAUAAGACAAAAUAUAUAAGACAUGGAAGAAACAGAUAACUAACUUUUGAUGCAAGAGCAGAGGCAUCUGUUAUCCAUGUUUCUCAACCAUAUUAUCAUGAACUUAGGAAUCCAAAUAAUACUAGUUAGCUCAUAAGCUUAUUAGAGAGAAUAUUACUUUAAAAGCAAUAAAUAAAGAACUCGAGUUCUCUACAAAAUUGAUCCACAAAACAAUAUAAAUAAAUAUCAUUUAAGCAUGCGGCAAAUAUAAGUUCAAUCCAGCUUCCCUGUUUUAAUUAUAUAUAUGUAAAGAAAAGCAAGUUCAAAACUAAAGAAACCUUUAAAUAAGCUACCAACUGUGACGUACUCAAUCACCAAAAUAUGGAAGUUAACUAAAAUAGAAGGAAAUAGUUGUCAGAAUUUAUAUUCCAUUAGUCACCUUACUACAAAAUCCAGAGAAAAGUAAACCAAUGGAUCAAUUAUAAAUAUCUAGAAUGUCCUUAAUUAGUGCCAUUAAUGAAACUCUUUCCAUAAUCUUUUAUGGCACAAAAUCUAAGUGAUUUUGAUUUACAUAACUUCUACCCUAUAACACUGAAAGCGUAAUGUCACACUGGGAUGGAAAGGAGAAGCAAGAAAUAGAAAAGUGCAGGAGGAAUCGGCAAAGGACCUUCUUCUAUUUUGGAGCUUUGAGCAAAAUAGAUAUUUCCAAAAUAACUUGGUAAAAGAUACAAAAACGUUAAAUAAAAAAUAGGAAUCAGAACUAAUAGAAGCUACUUCGGGCCUUUCGCCGGAUUGUCUGUAAGCUGUGAUUUCAAAAUCACAAUAAAAAUGCAGUAAUUGAUGGAAAGAGCUCCCACAAACAGCUUAGUGGGAUUAUUAGGCCUUACAUUAGUAACAACAAGCUUCCUAAUCAAGUUCUCUCAUUUCACACGUAACAUUAGAAAAUGAUAGAAACUCUCUAAGAAAAGUUCAUUAAAUGUCCAAAGUAACUAAAUGAUGCUACUGAAUAUGCCGGAAAAAGGCAGAAUAACUGGCUAAUUCAACAAUAAUGUCUAAAAUAAGUCAUUAUCAUCAAUGCAUUACAAAGCCAUUCUGUAAACAGAGUAAUAACAAUAAUAAUAAUAAUAAAUGAAAAAAACAAUGGACCCUUACUAGUUAGCAAAGAAAGUGCAUUAAAACCAAUUCUUAUUACUACAAAUGUCAGUGUUCUGGGUCUUUUUUUCUUAGACGAAGGACCACAAGCAUUGUUAUUUCAGUAGCAUAAACUCAAAUCUAAGGGAAAAGCAGGCAUAUUCAUGUCAAACAACUGAGGGAGAGAUAUCAUAACAGUAAAACUAAAGCAUUACUAAUUUUACAUGCAUUACAAGAGACAAACAAGCAAAAUAUCAGAGGAAGGGAAGAGAAAUAGAGAGACAAUGGCAGGAAAGGAUAACCUUAGAAGAGGCCUUUGCACUGCUAGUUCCUUUAGUGGAACCAAUCUGGGCAACCUUGUUCUUUGACCUCAACAGAACAGUCAAAUUCUUCACAGUGGCAGAAACAGCAAUAGCACUAAUAAGGCAAACUGCAGGUGUAGCAACAAGAAUCAACCGAACCAUGACGCCAGCAAAAUACAUGCUUGUGAGACCAUACAUGACAAUAAAUAUAGUGGCAUCUGACAACCGUUUGAAGCAAAAGUAAAGACCAGCUGGGAAAAGGAAAAGCAGGAUAUGGAAAUCAAACAUGAAAGAUGACCAUGCUGUUGGCUGAUGCUCAGAGACAGAUGCAAUAAUGGGGAUGUGAUCCUUCGCAUAGGUUGGAUCCAACAAAGAGUAAAACCUUCCUGUCCAUGGUGAAAUAUAGCCAGAUGCCACGCCUACUCCCAAAGCAAUACCUCCCGCAGCUACUGCACAGGUCACAGUGAUACUCAAAAACUCUUGAAACAAUUUCGUGUCACUAAGCAUGUGCUUCACCCAAUCCAAAAAGUAGAAAACCUGCACAAGUAGUCCAAAUGAACUAAAUGCAUGUUUUUAUUUCCAGCUUACCACUAACUUCAUAUUACUAAAGACAAAUUUCCCCCCAUUUUCAAGUACUAAUUGCUUAAAGUCUUAAAACUACUAAAAUACUACCACAAGUACAUUUGAAGAGACUAAAAAGAAAUGAAGCUUUGAUAUAAUGUGCAAAACCUGCAUCAAGAAGAAGACACCCAUGGCAGCCAUAUGUUCACCAGAUUGUACAUGUUGAAACCCAACAAAUCGAAUCUGCAUUGCCAGCAACAUUCCCAAAAUAUACAUACAAUUAUAAGCAACAUAUAGCCUCAUGGAAUACCUCCCAGUUAUCAAAAGCACCAAUACAUAAAGUGGGAUUAAGUUAAUAAUAAAAACGUAUCCUCCCCAAGCUGAAACCAUGUAAAAAUAACCAAAAGCCGAAGCUAAACCCCAAGCCAAAGAACCCUUAUUAACGGCCUUCACGAACAAAUAAAACGUGAAAAGCAAAGCGAAAAUGGCAACUCCUUCAUUAUCAUAAGAGCCAGCUACGGACCUAGAUAUGUAACCAGGACAAACAGCAAUCAAAAUCGCAGCAACAAGCCCAGCCCCAGAAUCCCAAAUUUCUUUCCCAAAGAAAUAAGCAACAAGGGUCGUAUUCGAAGCGAAAAACGGAGCCGUUAAAACACAGACUUCACGUAUAUGGACUGCGAAACGAAGGAAAUGAAGGAGGCGAUAAAUGAGGGCGGCGGUGACCAUGAGACCAGGGUAAAGAGUACCACCCACGAUUCGGCCUAAAGGGUACCAGCUUUCAUAGUCGAACCAGUUCCAGAAAUCGUAGAAACCAUGUUGGGUAAGAUACAGGGUAGUACGGUAGUUGAAGUAAGGGUCGAAUUCAUGGAUCAUGGAUUCAUAACGGAGGACAGAGAAGAGACGGGUAAUGAAGGCUAAGAUGUAAACAAGACAGAGGAUUGAGACUCGGAUAAGGAGUUCUUGUUGCUUUGUUUUGAGUUUGAAAGGUUUGAGGAGAUCUGAUGUGGAAGAGUUCGACAUUGUUGGGUUGCUGCAGAUUUUGGGUUUUGGAUUGUUAUAGAAGAUCAUGUCAUGAAAAUGGGGGAAAUGUGGUGAAGAUUCAGCAAAUGGAAGGGAGUGUUUUGAGAUAUACUAUACUUUGUAGUUGACGUAGUUCUUAUCGAACUGCUCUAAAAGUCAAAGCCCUUUUUGGGUAAUUAAUAAAAGGGAAAUUUUUACCUAAAGUCGCUAAACUAUUAAUAAAUUUAAGUUUUGGUCACUUAACUUCAAAUACGGAUUGUUUAUGGUCGUGAUCAAUGGAUUCCAUCGAGUAGGGGUUGGGUUAAGUGUAACGUCGGUACCGCUGUUUUUCAUUCCAAUGGUGCUUCAUCGUUCGCCCAUAACGGAAGCUUCAUUCACGGUUUCUCGAGUUUGCUUCCUAGUAUUUUGAAGCCUCGUAUGGCUGAGCUUAUAGCUAUUCGUGAACUACUCUCAAUCUGACUGUCAAGCUGUUAUCAUGGCUCUUAUUUCGUCAAAGCUACAUCUUUCUGAAUUUGGUGUCAUCCUUUAGGAAUGUGCUUCACUGAGUUUGUCUUUUCAGCGUUUGUCCUUUCGGUGGAUACGGCUAACAGUCGAUAAUGCGGCUCAAAAACUUGCUCAAGUGACCUUAUUCUAUACAUUUCGUCAAACGUGGGAAGACUCCCUACUUUCUUCAGUGUUUUUUAGAUUUGGACCGUUCCAUGUCCAAUACCAAUACCAAUAACGCUAAGUGCAUAGGAUUGGGUGUACGGGCUAAAUCUUUUAGCUUGAGAUUAAUAUUCGGAUAAUGUUAAGGUCUGCUUUUGUUUUUGCCUGUUAUUAAUGAAUUCUACUUUCGAAAAAAAAUUUAUUUUUUUGUAACUUUAUAAUAAUUUUAUAAUUUUUUUAAUAUAUUUUAAAUUUUAAAAAAAUCAUAAAUAUCACUUGCACUGAAAUGUGAAAUGUGAUGAAAAUAACAAAAAAAUUUAUUAAAGUUAAUGGUCAAAAGACUACUUGAGUAUAUUUUUACAUGUCCAACAACCAAUUGAGUUAAAAAAAAAAAUGUGAGGACUUAAUUUAAGUAGAGGUGCUCAUGGGCCGGGCCGGGCCCAUAAAAAAUUUUGGCCCGGCCCAAAAUAUGGGCCUGAAAAUUUUGCCCAGGCCCGGCCCAAGAAAAAAAUCAUAAGCCCGGCCUGGCCCAUUUUUUUAAUAAAUACCAAAAAUUUAUUUUAAAAAUUAAAAAAAAGUAUUUUAAAAAUAUUUUAAAAUUAAAAUUAAAAAAAGUAUUUUGAAAAUAUUUUAAAAUUAAAAAAUUUUAAAAAUAAAUAUAUUUAUUAUAUCGGGCCGGGCCCGGGCCAAAAAAAUAGUGCCCAAGGCCCGGCCCAUUUUCUAAACGGGCCUUGUUUUUUUUUGCCCAAACCCAUAUUUUGGGCCUAUAUUUUUACCCAAACCCUCUCAUAUUUCAGACGGGCCGUCGGGCCGGGCCGGGCCGCCUGGCCCAUGAGCACCUCUAAACUUAAUUGAUUUCUCGAAAGUUGAAAGCCUUAAACCCUUAAAUCUUUAUUUCCUAACUAAAUUCAUAAUUUUUUUUCUAUAACACAUGGAAAAAAAUUGUUACUUAUAAUUUGGUUGUUGAAUUAUAAUUGUUUUUCCAGUUUAUUAUUUAAUUUUUUAUUUUAUUUUAGCACUUGAAUUAUCAUUUUCAUCCUCAUUUACCCUUAAAAGAAAAAAGAUACCAUGAGAAUGUAACACAUGGCCCACUCUUAUUGGACACUAAAAAUUUUAAGAAAAAAAUGAAAUGAAAAUGAUAGUUCAAAUAUCAAAGUGCAUACAAACAAAAUAUAGUAGUAUAAAAACCUUAAAAACUUAACUUUUUUUCUCCAAAUCUUAUGUUUCUUCUUUUGUUUUGCCCAGCGACAAUGCUAGUCUUCGGGCUAAUUAUCGCCCGCCUUUUUCUCCAUCCCACCAACUCUUUCUUCCAUUCUUCUUUUCAUUCAUUUACCACUAAAAAAUUUUUUUAAAAAAGUAAAUAGCUCUUUGUCAGCUUCUUAAUCUAUUUAUAUUUUGAGAACAUUUCAGAAUAAUAAAUUAUUUACAAGUAAAUUUAAACCUGUGUAGGCUUAGGUUUUAUAUGUUUUUUUAUUUGUUUUUUCAUUGUUUAAUAAGUUUUCAUUUUUGAAAGCUUUUGUUUGCUCUUGUAACACAAUUUUUAGUCUUAUGCACGUAAUCUUAAUUUUACAAGUGAUUUUAGGAGCAAUUUUACUAUUGUCCUCUCUAAUUUGGUAAAUGCUCGUUUCUUUUGUCGAUUUUUGCUCGCCGCUUCAGACUAUCCAAUGCUAAUUUUUUUUAUCGUAUUAAGUGCUUGCAAUUACUCCAGAUAUGUCGUGCUUAAGUUAUAACAAAACAAACUAUCAACGUGUCAUAAUGUUCUAUUAAAACCUUUAUUGUGAUGAUAGAACUUAUCAUUCACCAUUUACAACAAGUAUUUGUUAUUUUUUUCUUAAAUUAUAUAAUUUCAUUUAUUGAAUGAAUUAAUAAAUUUAACUUUCAAAAAAAUAUCAAAAUAAGAAAUACAUAUAUCAAGAAAACAAAUGUAAUUCAGAAAUUGUAUCGUGAAAAUACAUAUUAGACCUGUCCAUGGGCCGGGCCCGAAAAAAAAUUUCGGCCCGCCUCCUAGGACCAAGCCCGGCCCGGCCCGAAAUAUGGGCCUAAAAUUUUGCCCAAGCCCAGCCUGAAAAAAAUAUCAUAAGCCCGAGCCCAGCCCGACCCAGCCCAUUUUUUAAUAAACAUUAAAAAAAUAUUUUAAAAAUAAAAAAAUAAAAAAUAUAUUUUAAAAGUAUUUUAAAAUUAAAAAAUAAAAAUAAAAAAUAUAUAUUUAUUAUAUUUGGGCCGGGCCGAGCCGGGCCCAGGCCAAAAAAGUGGUGCCCGAGGCCUGGCCCAUUUUUUAAACGAGCCUCAUUUUUUUUUGCCCAAGCCCAUAUUUCGGGCCUAUAUUUUUAUCCGAACCCUCCCAUAUUUUGGACGGACCGUCAGGACGAGCCGUGCCGCCCGGCCCAUGGACAGGUCUAAUACAUAUACACUACUUUUAAAAAGAAAAUUACAAAUUUACAUUUAGAAAUAAUAGGGUUUCUAUUUUAGUAUUAUAAUUUUUAUUAUUUCUCAAAAUACGGCUAUUUAUUAUUAAUUUUCAUAAUCUUUUUAACCUGGAAUUCUAUGUCCAUGGGCGUAUAUGUUAGCCUAAAAUGUAAAUAAAAUUAUUUUCAAGGCCAUUGAGGUUAGGAAGGUGGAAAAGUAAUUUAAUCUCGACGCUUAUGUUAGCAUGUAUGUAUAAUUUUUUUUCUUUUCUUUAAAUCUCAUCGUACCCUCCCAAACUCAUAAAAUGUGCAUGUCAAUCGAGUUAAGACUCAAUCGACAUAUGUAUAGAUGUAUUUUAUGAAGCAAAAAAGAUGAUUGAUUUAUAAAAAGUUGUUCCAUAAAAAACACAUGGAUCAAGGGUUAAAGGAGGACAAUCCAAAUGAGUAAUGCAAACACUAAAAAGGUGGGGGCAUUCAAAAUCUGGUCUACAAAGGUAGCUACUGAUGAUAUGAUUGAUUUUGAAAAUAUAUAGCUACAAAUUUUGUGUUUGGAGAAACUGCUCAUAAUCUAAUACUCAUUUUACAACAGGCAAUACAAGGAAGACUAAACACCUGCCAUACACAUAUACAUGAUGGGAAGGAUUACUACUGAAAAGAAACUAGAAAAGGAUCGAAUGUUACCGGGUGACGGGAGAGUUUCACUCUCUUGGUCGAGCAAGCCAGAGGGAACUAAGAGCUCGUAAUCUGGAGAAGUAAUCAUGUAUCGCAAGAAGUGCACGAGCAGACUGGCGAGUUGUCAAUAUCCGGUGCAUUUGUUGUAGGGUUUGCUGCCGUAGAUUGUCCGCCUGAUAAUACUAACGUAUUAGUAAACAAUGACCCAAAAACGAAAGAAGACGCAAUAUAAAGGCUCAAGAAACUUCCCCUCCACAUUAAAGUAAUACCAACAGAUCAGUGUCUCAGUUUAAACUACACUUGUAGUCACCCAACAAUUGGUAAGUUUCUUUUUUGAUCACUCGAUUAUGAAAAGUUACAAAAUAAUCAUCCAACUAUUCGAUUUUUUUCCUUUUUGGUCACCAUUCAUUAAAUAACUAACAAAAAGAUGAUGAUGCCAACUUUUAAAAUUGACAUAAUAGCAACUUUUAACCCUCAAUAUUCAUACAUUAUGUCAAUUUGGUCUUGAUUCUAAAAAAUAUAACCCUCAACAUUUACACACUGUGUAAUUUGGUCUUUUUUACAAUUUUGCUUUUCUUUGUGACAUUUCACUUAAAAAGCUAAAUUUGAUAAAGAAAAUAUACCAAAAAUGAAAGCACAUGAAAAUCCAAGAUGAUGAUUUUCAUAAUUUUAUUAUUCUUUUAAAACUAACCUUCAAUGUCACAAAGAAAAACAAAAUUGCAAAAAAGACAAAAUUAAAAAAUGUGUAAAUGUUAAGGGUUAAUUUUUUUAGAAUCGAGACUAAAUUGACACAAUGUAUGAAUGCUGAGUAUUAAAGUUGGGUAACCAUUUUGUAACUUUUCAUUGUUAGGUGACCAAAACAGAAAUUUAUUAAUAGUUGAGUGACUACCAAUAUAGUUUACCCUCAUAUUAUCUACAGAAAACUUCAAGUGACUCGAGAAAAUCUUCAAAGUUUCAUGUUCUCAUUUCAAACUAAUUACCGAGAUCAUCAUUACCGGUUCAAUGCAUUCUCCAAAAAGUUUCAAAUAAUGGGCAAAAAAGGGAUGGAAGAGAAAAGAAAAGGCAUUACCUGACAAAUAAAACCCUCAAGAGUUCCUAGCUUUCCCAUGGCCAUGGCCAUUUGACCCAUAUAGUUUGCUACAUUCCCAGUUGAGCCGGAAGAGCCUAAGGAUCCAGUGGACAAUGUCUCGGACAGAGACUGCUGCAAUGCUUCCAUACCUUGUGAUAAUGCAUCUUCAGCCUGCUGGGAAGAUUGUUGCAAGUUGCUAACUCCCACCAACUGUUGCUCUGUCAAAGGCUCCAAUUGGUUUACAAGAAGCUACAUGCAUAAACAUUCAAUUCUAAGAUGACAAAUUAUAAAGAAAACAAAAUAUUUAAGUAAUACGAGGUCGGGAAGAUAUUGAGUUACUGACACUAUAUAAAAAAGUACAUGAAUCAGAGUUAUGCAUAAUACAUGAGCAUGGCAGUCAUACGGGGCAAGAAAAGAUCCGAGGAACACGUGCCUAAAAAAUUCAUAUGGCCUUACCUUUAGAAGCUCAGAUGACCGAAAACCACCAAGCCACAAGAAACACCUCUCGGCAGGUGUCUUCCACAUGCCUGAUAACAAAUGGAAAACAUCUGCCUUAGCUACGUUGCUCUUCAGCCUAAAAAUUUCAUCAUAGUGAGCCAUAACACCGUCAACAAUAAUACGAAGUUCUGCAUCGCCUGCAUGAGAAUUUACUGCCAUUCUCAACUCAUUAAUUUGUCGAUUGUGCUCUUCAAGCCACCUUCCAUAUUCUACAUCAAAUGUCAUGGAACCUACAAAGAAAAGAAAUGACCGAAACAAAUAGUGAAACUGAUAAAUACAUAACCUCCACCAUCACACUCCAAACAUUUGACAAUUUGGUAAAAAGACCUUUCCAGUCCCUUCAAAUUUUGAAAUUGAGCAAAUUAAUCCUUCUUAAAAAAAUCAGAGCAAUUUACUCCCUGUCAGUUUUGAAAGUAAGCAACUAAGGACAAUUAUCACGACACUAAUUUCUUACAUCAAUUAUACAUAAUUUUGAUUGGUAUAAUAACAAAUUUAGCCCUCAAUGUUUACAUUUUGUCAAUUUGGCCUUAGAUCUAAAAAGAAUCAACAAAUUUAACCUCAAGUUUUACGCAUUUACACAAAUGUUCCAGGUUAAAUUUGUUAAAUGAAGACCAAAUUAAUAGAAUGGAUAAACUUUGAGGGCUAAAUUCAUUAUUAUAUCAAUCAAAAUUAUGUAUAAUUGACCAAAAACAUUAACAUCAUGAUCAAUUGUCCUUAUUUGCACACUUUCAAAAUUGAAAGGACUAAAUUGCUGUAAUUUUUUUGAGAUGGACCAAUUUUCUCAAUAUCGAAUUUGAGAGGGACUGUAGAUGCCUUUUUACCAAACAAUUUCAUGAUACGCACGCGAUGUAACAAAAUGGGGGACAAAAUGCAGCGUCCCUACAUAGCAUAGUAGGGGUGUAUAUCUAUAUAUUCCCGGACAAAGCCUUGGACACUGGCCUGCCCUUUUUUUACUAGCACUUAUCUAGUCAUGCAUUAUGGAACCCAUGUCUAGUAUAUGGUAUUUUUAUUCUGAAACGAAUAAAUUCAAUUUUAUGUAAUCUACAAAGAACUUAUUUUAACCGUAAACGUAAGUGCUCAAGAGAAGGUAGGGGAAGCACCAAUUGCAUACAACAUGAUGGAAAUAAAUAAUAUUACCAUUUCCACCCAAUGAAGGAAUUUGAUCUCCCGAGCUUGAUAUGAAGAUGCCCUACAGGGAAAGGCAGCAUCAUAAGUAAUACAUGCAUGAAUAAAUAACUGAGUACACAGUGCCUGCGAUGAAGGACCAAGCCAACCUGCUGUCGUGCCCGCUGGAGCUCCUGCUCAAGUUGUGUCAACUUCAAACGACUGCUCUCCAGCUGCUGCACAUAUGCCUACAAAUGGAGAAAAAGGAUAAUAUGCCUCAAUAUAGGAAAUUAAAUCUACAAAAUCCCCAAAAUACCAUAGAAGACUCGUGUCAUCUACCAUGCAUUAACUUUAAAGGGAAAAGACAUACUUUCUUCCUCAACCGGCUUUUUCUUGCAGCCUCACGAUUUUGAGCAAGUCUGCGAAGAAUCUGUAGAAUAUUAUCAACCAAAAAUCACCAAUAUGACCAAGCUAUUAUCCAUGCUAUUAAUGAAGUGUCUAACCUUUUGAUCCAAAUUACUCUUUGAUCGGUCACUUGAAUCAGAAGCUGCAACAGCAGCAUUCAGUUUUUCACUAUCAAACUGCACAAAAGCAAUAAAAUCUGAGACCGGCAAGAACAGCAACUAUUACAACAUACAAAACUUGUCCCACUACAUGAUCUUGGAUACAUGGAUCAAAUAACAAUGUGCUCUACUUGGGACUGAAUUUAAAAUAAGAUCAAUAAAAGCUAUACCCUCAGAUUUUUUUCAUCUGUUUCUGCAUCUGUUGAGAUAUCAGUCCUCGGACUAGCAUCAGCCAUAUCGGAUUCCCCCCAGUUUUCUGUAUGACCCCUAGAUAUGGAGACUGGACCUGUCUGUUGACCUCUUUCCAAGUGCAAUCCCUGAGAUUCGACUCGGAGGGCAGAUGGAUUUAUAGUAAAUGAAUUUGGAGUCUGUUUCAGGCAAUAAAGAGAGUAAAAUAAAUAACCGAGCAUACAUGAUACAACAAAUAGAUUACUUGCUCAUUAAGUUAUAAGAGAAACAAAAUCCACCUUAUCCAAAGUGCCAAUAUAGCUGCGAUCGGUAGGAAAUGGUUGGCCACUUGCAUUUGCAGAAUUAAACACACCGUCUGCAUUGCCACAUGUAAAGCCGAGAUAAAGGUUUGCCAUCCACACCCUCAAUUCUAAAAGCUGUGAAAUUGUAAACUGAAAAGAAUAAAGAGGGAAUUUACAGAAGGUUAUAAAGCAGUGACUAAUUCCCUCACCGUGGAUGCUCUCAGAAGACGUAAACAGCUGGCCUCGAAAUGUGCUCUAUUCCCAUGAGCAGGGAUCGAACCCCUAACCAUGUGGUUAAGGGAAGAGGUUAGCAACCACCACACUACACUUUGCGAUUGACUCAGGUGUAACUGUUAGAUGCACGUAUGUAUCUAAAUGGGUAUGUUCAAUCAAUUAUAAGUUUUUUCGUGUAUUUGGAGGAACCUUGGAGGGUCAUAUCCUCAUACACAUCAAACAUAGAUGAAUAACAUACAACUCAACAUCGAACAUAGGAAAAGGGAAAAUAGAAAAUGGAGACAUUUCCAAAUACAACCUCAGUCUCACAUUUCUACGAAGAAGCAAAUCAAGAUUUGCAAAGGUAGACUAUCGAAAACCGAACAUCCAAGCAAAGAAUACAAACACCGUGGCCUUCCACAGAUUAAAUUUAAAACAUAUUGCCAUCAAUGCCAUGGAACAAGCAAAACUCCUAAAUACCAUAAAAGCACUAGCUAACAAUUUAGAAGACUAUACUAAAAAAAGGAACUUCUUGAAGGGUAUUUGAAGAUAAUUUCAAACUUUUUUGAGGACUCAUAACCCUGUUUAACACCAAUACCAUGUAACAAAAGUCACUAACAAGUGUGCUCUUUGGGCAAGUAUUUCUAGGCCUCUUCACACUCUAUGAGCUCAAAAGUAAAUGUAUCAAAGAACACAGCUUCAUAUAUAGCAAACUCUUUCAAAAACCAAAACCAAAUAAUAAGUGUAAAGGACUAAAUUUGCAGCAACCUAAAAUUACAUAAAAAAUCAAAAACCCAAAUUAGAGAAAACCUUAAAAAAUCCAAAUUGACCGUCAAAACAAAAUCAUACCCAGAAACCAAAAUCAAUGAAAAAAAAAUCAAAAUGCAUAAAAAGUUUCAACUUUUCCAAAGUAAAAGAGUAAAAAUUAGUCAACUUUCAUGAUUGUAAUCCAAAAUGAUAACUUUAAAACAGAAAAGUUUAAGGACGACAAAACUCACCUGGUGAAAAUUUGAGGAUGAUGAUGAGGACGAAUAUGAAAAUUGAAGACUUUGAAAUUGAAAGUAUUAAUAUCAGUAAUUACUUUGGAUAAUGAUAUUCCAAUCUGUAGACGUCCACUGAGAAAUAGUUCCACUUCCCGAGAGCUAAUGGUUCUUUAAUUUUGCCUUUUCGAUUAAGGAGUACUAUUUUUAGUGGGUCACAUUGACUUUACUUUUUGGGUUUUUUGUGUAUUUUUUUUCCUUCUGUUGUCACUGUAAAUAGCGCAGAGAUACGGACAGAGUAAAGAAUACAGCUAUGCUUUGCUACACUGUUUCUGUAAGAAAAUUAGCUUUGGAUUUCUGUCUCCGGUUUGCAUAUGCUGUUAGUCCCUAUACUUUGAGCAACUUUUAGAUUUAGUCCCUAUACUUAAAAGUUAAAAUUUAAGGUUACUAUUUUUUUAUUUAAAAAUCACAUUCCAAUCAUUAAGAUCGUAAGUAUUUUCUGUCAAAACUUAUCAAUUUACAAUUUUGAUUAGAUUGUCAUCAUAUGACGUGACAUAUGAUUGAUAAAAAAUAAAUAUAUUGAACUAUCAAUUUUUUAUAGAAACUUCCAACGAUGAUAAUGAUUGGACUAAUAUUUUUAAAUUGAAAAAGUAAGACAAUUUAAUUUUUAACUUUUAAAAUAUAAAAACCAAACCUCAAAUUUUACACAUAUAUAAGGACUAACAACAUAUUUUAAGCUAGUUUUUAUCAUCAUAUGCCUAGUUUUUAUAUAUUUAUGUUGAGUGGAACAACUAUGACUCACACAGUGUUAAAUUUUUAAGUUGUUAAUUGCUUGUACCGUCAACUUAGAAUAAAAGUGCAUGAGAAUCACUAUUGCUUAGAAUUAUGAAAACUGUGUAAAUAAAAUAACGUAAAACACAGGUUUGUUUACAUAGUUCGAUUUUUUUAUAUCUGUAGAGUCUAGUUUACUAUUCAAAUAUAGAGAUCUCACUUUUAUAUCUAAAUGUCUAGAAUUAGAUAUAGUCCCUCCCCAACCCAUAAAUAAGAAGAUAAUACGUAUUCAUGCACUUGAACUUACGUCUUCCUUUAUUAGCACCAAUGUUCGUACCAAUCGAAUUAAAACUCAAUUAAAAGAAUGUUUUAAUAUAUUGUAUAUAUGUAUAUAUAUACCAUAUUUUAUAUUUUUAUAUCAAAUAUAUUAUAAUAUUUUAUAAGAGUAAAUAUUAAAACCACAUACAAACUCUUACCAAAAGACCUUUAUGCUAGCAAAUGUGUAAAGUUAGUGUCAUUUCCGAAUUUUUUUUUGUCAAAUCGAUUGAAUUUAAUUUUUAUAUUUUUUGAAUUUUAAAAUUUUAGUCUUAACUCAAACAUAAUGGUUAAAUCUAUUUGGUUAAAUUCAAUAAUUAGUCAUAUACUAUACAUACAAUUAUAGAUUUAGUCCAUAUUCUCCAAUUAAAUCCUUCUAAGUCUCUAUACUUUUUCAAAAUUUGAAAUUUAAGCCUUGAUCCAAGCAAAAGUUGUUAUCUAUUAACAGGAUUUUAGUGAACAAUAUGUUAUAUAUAAGGAUUAAAAAUACCAAAUUAAAGUAUAAGGAUUAAAUCCAUAACAUUAGUAAAGUACAGGGGCUAAUAGCAGAAUUUAACCAAGAAAACAAAAAAAAAUUCCCUCAAUUGUCGCUGUCUCUCUCGAAGGUCUCUCCAGAACCUUUCAGUCAACAUGGAAAAUAAAAUACACCAGGACGACGUCGUUGCAUGUGUCAGCAUGAUGUAAUUUUUACGACUAUUCCACGAGUCGAUCCAUAAUUCAAAAUUUAAUUGUCAGGUCUUUUUUCAACAUGUGGAAACCUAUUAAUUCUUUUUGACUUUUUGAGAAAAAAAAAAAACAAUGAUACUUAUCAUUAAAUGCUAUGCUUUGUUGUUUAGUCUUUUUCAUCGGACUUUUUUAUAUGAGUUACGAUUUUUUAUAUAAUAUUUAAAAUUAUUUAUAGUCUUUUACCAAUCUUUAAAUAAAAUAAUAAUAUGUUUCAGCGUACUGAAAUUUAUAUUUUUUUACACUGAUAACAAUAUCAAUACCAACUUAAUUAUGACUCAAUCCACUUUUUUUUAUGGUUGUUUUGUGAGGUUUGUAGAUAAAUUUGAUAAUUGCAUAUUUUAUGCGACAACUUUUACGGGGUUGGAGAGAUAUUGGGAUGUAUAAAGUAGUGGAAGAGAAGGUAGAUUUAGGGGUUGUACCUCUUACGAAUUUUCGCUAUUAGUUAGGGUGUCUGUAUCCUUCACCCAAUAGGACUGGCUGUAGCUUUUUUGUUGGCUGUGUCAUCAACUACCAUCGUUGAGGUUGCAUGUUGUCUAUGCAUUUAUAGCAAUUUGUUUGCUAUCUUGGGCAAGGGGUCUGACUACUCGCACAUUUCCAAACAUCUUCAACCUUGUAUUAAGUAUAAAGUGCCCAUUUAAUUGGUUGUUUUAUUAGAAAUUAUUCUUGGGUAAUUUUCCGACAAUACGGCUAAGGUAAAGUAAUGAGUUCUCUCAACUUAUUUCUUUUUAAUUUCUAUUAACUUAGUUGUCACCUAAAAAUAACGUAUGAGCAUAAAUUAAAGAAUUAACUUAGUUUCAUUGGCAUUAUAUGAUUGAUGAAAAGUAAACAUGGUCACAAGUCGUUUGUUUUUGUGAUGAAUGACUUGAUUAUUAUCUGAUAAUAAUUGAUUUUUUAUGAGAGAAGUGUAAUGAUUACCGUGAGAUAAAAUAAGAUCAUAUUGGGAGAACAGAUAUUAUCCCAAAGAGAUAAGGAUAUCCUAUUAGGGUAAUACACUUAUGACAAGAUCGUUGGACGAUGAUUAAUCGACUUGCUUUCGUAAUGGUAUGUUGUUGGGGAGAGCUCAAUCACGAUACUAUAGUAGAAUGACUUCGUGACUAAAUGAGAUUAUAAUUAAUAGGCGAAAAAAUACUAUAGUAGAAUGACUUCGUGACUAAAUGAGAUUAUAAUUAAUAGGCGAAAAACUGGAACUUAAUUAUAAAUCAUUUGAGUCUCAAUUGCAUAUGGCCAAUUGGUCCAUUCGUAAGCUUCUUAAAGACAAAAAUGAAUUGUAUGUUGAAUCAAAUGAACAAAAAUUGUGAAAUAGGAAACAUUUGGAAAUGAUUAAUGUUUUCUCCAAAAUGAAAAUGAAAAUGGGGAAAUGAAAUUAUUUGGAAAUGAAUGUAGUUUCACUUGAUUCGACUCAACUCAAAUUUUAUUUCAGUAGACUCGAUUUGAAUUUUUUUUAAAAUUAAGUUAGUAUGAUAAAAUAGGACUCGUCAACUCUAUUAAAUGGAAUUUUUUUACUCGAUUCGAUCAAGCGUUCACCCUUAUAUCAAAGUAUGAGUUAUAUAUACAUAGUUAGUCACUCAAGAUUGAGGUGAGUUACACUAUGAAUAUCACAAGUGAAUUAAUCCAUAAACAAAUUCAAGAUAAAUUCAACUUGGGUCAUGUCCGAUAUAUUGUCAAUCCAAACAAUCACACUUAUGUUUCUAUCUUUCUAGUAGCCAAUCGCUCUAAUACCUAAGACAAUGCAUCUCCUCAAUUGGACUCGAUAAACAACAUAAUAGUCCCUUGAAUCAAUUGUUCAUUUGAUUCCUCAAACCAUGGAUCAUUUAAACUACCUACUAAUAUAAGUUGUUUUCUUGCAUCAUAAUUAAUACAAAUGAUACAAUUUAAUAUUAGUUAAACUUUAGAUAAUAAAUGAGUCAAUGUCUACUUUUUUAUUUUACUUUUCGUGCCAAAAUUAUUAAUGAUAAUUAUAUAAUUAUUUAGUCAUGAAAAUUUUAUUAACCAAUUUGAUUGAAAAUUUACAAACAUAAUAACAAGAUAACUAUACUAAGGGCACAAAAUCUCAACAAAACCCUCCACAUUUUGGCUCAAUAACAAAAUCAAGCAAAGGAACCAAAUGUCUAUAUCAUUAGACUUUGCUGAAAAUUCAUCAUUGAGUUGAUGACACUACUAAAAGUAAUGUAAAAGUAAUGCACACUUGCACGUACAUCUAUUCAUGUUGUUAGUAUGGGGUAAUCUAGUGCAAACAAACAUGAACCAAUACCUCAUAUUGAGAAGCAAAAAUCAUGACUUAAAAUACAAGUAUCCCUUACUCUUGCUAAAUUUCCAAGUAACCCAACCCCAUGUCAAUGACUUGACGAUAGCAUUCAAUUCAUGGUCAGUAAGAAAAUUUCCAAUGAAGUCAUCUUCUCAAUAUCAAGGACUCCAAGUCCAACUUGAACAAUCUCAUUAUAGGUUCUGAUAAUAUUUACUAUUUUUGAUAUAAUGUCUAAAAUUAUUUAUAGCCUCUCUCCAACCUAUAAAUAAGAGGAUAAUGCACUUCAGCGCACUCAAACCCACGUCCUACUACAUAGAUAACAAUAUGUAUGUCAAUCGAGCUAAAACUCAAUCUACAGCAAUUAUAGAAUGAAUUUUGAAGCGAAAGAAUUUAGCAAAACAAAAUUAAGAUUCAAUGAUAGCUUAAAACAAUAAUUUUAUUGCCAAAAUACUUGUAGUGAAAUGAAAGAACAAAAAAGUCCAUUGGACUUGGAGUUGUACAAUCCACAACCAAAGUCUACAGUACACAAACAGUUGUUAAGAAGGGCCCAAUGCUUUGAAUUUGUUCAACGAAAAUUCCCAGUCCAAAUCCACUUGUUUUUCUGGCCAUUUUCUAAUUUUCUCCUAUGCAAUUAACAUCAUCGUUUGCACCAUAAAUUUCUUUUGUUCAAUUUCCUCAAAUACUAUUGAUGAUAAUCAUAAUUUAAGAGAAGGUCCUUACUACAUUUUUUUUAAUAUACCUAUACCCUUCAAACUCUUAAAUCGAAAGAAAAUUGUGUAUAUUUUUUCGUUACAUUAUAGAAAAAUGUUUAAAUUUUUAUUUUAAUUUCUUUAUUUUAUUUUAAUUUGAGAUUUAAUUUCUAUACUUUAAUUUCUCUCGAAUGGUUGAUUCUUUUCGAAGGACAGUGGGGAGUUGCUAUUUGAAGACCCCAUUUCUUGUUUGGUUGCUCUCUACUCAGUAUUGUUAAUGUUUUGUUUGAGCAGCCGCCGGUCGGAAUCCCAUGGCUGAGGGUUUCCUUUUUGUGUUUUUCUCUUGACUGUUGGUUCAUUUAAUUGUCUUUUUACUUUGUUUAAUUCAUCAAUAAAUAGGUCGGCUUUUGAGAUAAAAAAAUAAUUAAUAUAGUUAACUUUCUUUAAUUAAAAUGUUACGUGAUUAUAUAUAAUUUAAAUGCUAUAAAGGUCUUUAAGAUUAACACAUCUUUUUUGUUUGCCUUACUCUUUUUUCCUUAUUAUAAGAAAAUGGACAAAUUUUAGGUUUGAUCCCUGUAUUAUAAUUUAAUGUUUGACAUAAUUUAGUUCAUCUACUUUUAUAAUGUCUUUAAUUAGUUAGAUAGUUAACAUUAUUAAUUAUUUCAAUUACAAUGUUAACGUCAUUUUUUUAAGAAUACUAUCAAGUAAUCACGGGUUGAAACUCAAUAUCUAUUAAUGUUUAAAUAAAUAUUUUACACAUGCAAAAUAAGAUUUAUAAAUAAAAUCUAUAGCGCCUGAUAAAAUCAUAAAGGGGAUGAUUUGAUGUAAUAGGUCUAAUCAAUGUCACAAUAGUUGAGGUAAAUGUCAUGUAAAAAUAUAAUGUCGGUAAUGAUAAUAUAUCGUAAAGAAAAGAGAAAUAAAAAUAAAUAACACAUAAAUUUUUACGUGGAAACCCUUUCGGGAAAAACUCACGGGCAGAGGAGAAAAAAUUUACUAUGUCGAAUUCGAAUGAUUACAAUAGAAGUUUCGACUACAUCUAUUUAUAGGUUGAGAAAACCUAAUUCUAAUCAAAGUCAAAUAUAUUAUGUUAAUAGAUGCUAAAUAUAUUAUACUCAUAAAUACUAAAUCUUUUAAAAAGAAUAUAUAUUUUGUUUAACUUGACUUACAAAUAAUAUCUUAAAAUUUACGUCACACAACUUCAACAUGUCAUAAUUCUAUAGACACACAAUAAAUGUAUGUUUGCAAAAAGAAAAGCACAUGUCAUGGAUUUCUUGGACUUCCAAAGUUCCCAACUUUAGUCAAAUGAAAUUUCAUAUUCCAAUGUUUGAUAAAAACCACAUGGGGAAUUGGAACUAAACAUGCAAAACAAAUCUUUUGAAUGUAAGCAAUUUGUUGGGGAGGGAGGGGAAUCCUUUUUGGACUUCUAAAACCUCAUAAAUCAAAUCAAUUAAAACAUAUUAGGUAGUUCAAAUUCAUUCAAUCUUACAUUAUAAAUUAUUUUGGUUUUUUUUUAAUAAUUACAUCUGUUUUUAUCCUUAUGGUUUGGAUGAUAUUUAGAUAAAAUCUUCUCAACAAUGAUUGUUUUAGAAUUUAGAUUCAAUCUAAAUGUUUGAGAAAGAAUCGACUGUUACUUAAUCUUUCGACUAUUCGAAGACCGGUAUGGUAGAUUAAUUCCCAUUGAUGAGUGGAAAACUAUUUAAAUAAAAGAAUAGAAGAAAACUAUUUGAAUGUUGGUUUGUAUAUUUAUGACAUUUGAAGUUGUUUCAUAAAAAACCGAACUAUAGUAAAGAAGAAGAAAAAAAAAUAAGAACUUUCGAUUACUGCGAGCGAUAUAAAGAGAGAGGCCAUACAACAAUAAUUUUAACAGCUUAAUAAUUUAAAUAAAAAUUUUUAAAUAAUUCAAUAAUUAUUUAUAAAUAUACAAACCAUGAAUUUACCCUAAAAUCAAUCUAAAAUCUAACUUCCAAAUAUGUAAAAUGAAUCCGACAGAGUGUGAGCCAUCAGAGAAAUUUGUAGAUUUGUGUGCGCGAGUGGCGACUGCAUGCGUUGAAAGCCUUCGUAGAAUCAUAGAUAAAGAGUUUCACACUCCAUCCAUUGAACUAAGACGCCUUUUUAUUAUAAAUUGAAUGUCGGCUCCAAGAUAUGCCUUUUACCAUUCUUGGACUUUGCUGUAUCUUUCAUAUUCUUUCUUUAAUUAUUAUUAUUUGUUUAUUUUUCUCAAUGCAUCUUAUCAUAUGAUAUGGUCUUCUUCGUAUCUACCUACAUGUGCAUCACAAUCACACGUAUAUGCUUUGUAUAUUUACGUAUCUUUUAUCUUUAUUAAUUUAAAAUAUUUUAUCAAUUAAAUCUUAACUUAAUUGGUAUAAGUAUUUUUGUUAAUAUAAAAACUCGUAUCUUUAUAUAAGUCUUAUCUUCUAUUUAUAGGUUUGAAUGCAGUUAAGCGUGCUAUUCCUCCGAUUUAAAAGUUGGCAUUGUGUAAAAAAAAAGAAGAUAAAUAUCAACUUUAAUUCAAUGUACAAUUUAAUACAUUAACUUUAGUUCAAAUAUAUACAUUUAAAAAAACGAAUACACUAAUUUUUUUUCUUCCGCUCGUCUUCAGCAUGACAUACAUAAUUUAGUAUAUUAUAAAUAAGGUCAAAUCAUGCUUUUAGUUUGUAAAUUGUGGAUGUAGCAUCUAUAUUAAUCUAAAUUUAAUCAAUUUUAGAUUUUAUACAUUUUGAAAUUUAAAAUUUCAGUGUUAACUAAAUGGUACCCAUUAAAUUUAUUAAGUCAAAUUAUAUUAUUUUCAAAAUUUUAGCCAGCUAACUAUUUUCGUACAAUAUUCACACACAGACAAAAAAAGUCAUUUUAGUGAAUAAUUUUAAUGACUAUCGUUUAAGUUAUGUUUAAAAUUUCAAAUUUGAGAAAAUAUAAAGACUAAAAGUGAUCAAAUUGAAUAAUACAGAUUAAAUCCACGACUUACACAUAAUAUGAAACUAAUAACAGAAUUUGAUUCAACGGAUUUAAUUACUAUUUUUUCAGGUAAUGACUGAAAUUUCAGAACUUAAGAAAUGCAUAUAAAGUUUUAAGAGUUUUAAGUUGUAUAUAUAUACAUCAAUGAGUGUUGGGUAUAGUGAUAAGACAUAUUAUAUUUUUAAUAAGAUACGUAAGUUCAAACUUUAGAAACGACAUUGCUAAGAGGUAUAACUAUGAACCCUGAAUAUAAACUGUAAAACGAACAUAAAAACACGAAAAAAGUGUAUAUAUAAUUAAUACAAAAAUACCCCUAAAUAUAAAAAAUCUAGAAAUUAGAGUUAAGAAAUCUCCUUAAGAUAAGAUUUGUGCCAAGAAUGUGAGAAUCCAUUUCUAUUUUAAAAAAGAAAGGAUGGAGUGAUAUAUUAUUUAAUUUAGAUAUUUCUGGAAUGGAUAAUACGCGUCUCCCAUGUGCCAAAUGAGGUUUGGAGUUGGAUUUGCUAAAAUUAGGGAAAACAAAUAGUUUUGGAAUAAUUAUGUAUGAAAUUAAUCAAAUAAUCAUAGGAAAAUAUUUAAGUAUAUUUUUUUAUUUUAAAAAAUUUUAGAAAUAAUUAUAGAUAAAAAUUAAUAAAUCAAGAUUUUGUCGCAUUUUCAUUUGUAAAGUCUAAAAGUUCAAUUGGACAUCGAUUCAAUCGUGUAUAAUAAAUGUUUAAUUUUACUUUUGUAACCAAAGCAUCAAUUGACUUUAAUAUGAAUUUUUAAUAAUUAUAUUUGUUACAUAAAUGUUUUUUCAACCACAUCGUGGCGUGUUAUGCAAAAAUUAAAUCAAUUGAAAAUUAAUAAUUUCAAUAAAUAUUAUAUUAUCCUAUAAAACUUUACGUUUAAAAUUUGACUUUUGUUUAGAAUAAGGUGAAAUGUUUAAAAAUUAAGGAUAAAUUGUAGAGUUUUUUUUAUAAUUUAUAAUAUAUAUUUAUAACAAUCUAAUUAACAUGGAUUUUUUAGAAUAAGGUGCUGAAUAAUUGUCUUUAGUGCUCACUUUCGAAAUUGACAUGAAUUAAAUUGAGAGGGACCAAUUUGCUUAAUUUUAAAAUUGAGAGAGAUUGGAAAGAUUUUGUUUACCAAACUUAUUCAAUUAUACAGCACUAAUACAUCAGAUCUCAUCAGAACUCCGCAAUUAAGCGUGCUUAGGCGAGAAUAACACUAAGAUGGGUUACCUCCUAGGAAAUUCUCGUGUUGAGGACAAAGCAGCUAUUAUUCACCUAAACAAUCCACCACCAAUACCACGAAUUUGAAUAUUGAAUUCAAACUAAUAAUGGGCAAUGAAUGAAAUUAGUCAACAUCAUUAACUCAAUGCGUAAGAAAAAGAAAAAUGGUGGGUGGGUUCAUAAAUUUGGGAAUUUCCACAUCUUCAUUCACUUGCUUCCUUCUUGGCAAUUCUCAUUAAUUUAUGGACGGAAAAUAAUUUCCCCUAUUAUAAACGUGAGAAAGAUUAAUUUUGUAGGGUUUUCCCCUAUUGCCCAUCACUUGGUCCCCAUUUUUGUAAAAACUAAUAAAUAAUUUUUUUAUAUAUAUAACUAGAUUUUAUCGUACCCAUAAGUCAUAAAGUGGGUGAACUGAAAUAUUUUAUAUUAAAAAAAUAUUUCAACAAAUGAUUAUUAGUGGAGUGACAAUGUUUUUUAUUUAAAUUUAUCGGCCUUGUAUUUGAUCAAGGGCAAAGUCAGAUAACAUUUUUAGAAAUGGCCGAAAUUAAAAUGUAAUUUUUACGAUAGUAAAAAUAUAAUUUCACCAUUUUAAUAGUCUAUAUUUUUAUAAUUUUUAAAAUAUUAAAUCAUUUUUUAUUAUUUUUAGAGGCUCAAAGUGCAAUUUUACUUUUACUAAUUUAAAAAUUUUAAGGGCCUAAAUAGAAAAUUUUUCAUUUAAGGGGGCUAGGACCCUUGCCAGUCCCCCUAGCUAUGCCCCUGUGUUUGAUUCUCAAAUAAUGUUUUUCAAUUAUUUUAUUUGAAGAUUAUAUAAAAAAAUAUAUGAAAAUACCCUUAUAAUAAUAUUAAUUGCCCUUUAAAGUAAGGAUAUUUUAAUAAUUUCAUAACUGAAUUGGUGUCGAGUUGACUCGUGACACUAACUCAAUCAAUCAUUUUAUAUACAAUAUAGAUACCUUGUUGCCAUCAAAAAGUUUAAUUAAAGCUUAAAGAGUAUGAAAAGCCCCUAUACUUCAAAAUAAAAAUAAAGCAAUCUAAUCCUUCUAUGAAAAAACACAUUUAAUCGUCUUUUGACCAAUGUUUUCAUUUUUGACCGUUAUUGAUGCUAAUUCGUUUGGUUUUUGUCCAUGCGAUGAUUCAUGUGGUUGACUUUUGGUGAUAUUGAUAUUAUUUUGUCGUAUAUGUCACGUUAAAAUCUUAUUUUAAAAAAAACUAAAAUGCAAAGAAAAAAAACCUUAAAAUAUAAAAAGAAUUAAAAAAAAGAAAUAAAUUUAUUAUUGAGUGAAUUUUCAAGAUCAAGUCUAGACAAUUUUUUAAGCGAAUCCUAAUCAAAUUUUUAUUUCUCAUCUUCAAGAUAAUGUAUUGACAACCCUUGAAGCAAACUUCGUAAUUUUACAUCAACUCUCAAAUACUUUUAAAUUUAAAUUAAAUCAAAUCAAAUCCAAACUCGUUUUAAAAUCAAGUUUCGGCAACACUUAAAUUAAACUACAUCAAUUCAAUAAAAAAAUUUUAAAAGAUUCAUUCAAAAACUGUAACUCAUAAUUUCAUAAUAACUCUUUUAAUUUGUUUCAAAUCACUAUUCAACUUAAAAUUUGUGUUAAUAAUUGUGGAAGUAGAGUUUGUUUUUUUGUAUUUUUUUAAAAAUUCAAUUUUAUUUUUAAUAUUUUAUUAUAUUGAUCAUAAUGCUCUUUUUUAUUUUUUAAUAUUUUAUUUCAUGUACCAUGUAUUUAGCUUCAUGACAAUUUCUUUGAAAAUUAUUUAUUGUUCAUAGCAUCCAAUUUUUUUUAGUAUAUCUAAAAUAUAAAAUUAAAAAAAGUACAAAAUCUUUUCAUACCCUUAGCCUUCAAUUAAUUAUUAAAAAUCUCAAUUAUUUGAAUUUAUUUUUAAGAGCUUCAAUGAGUGGAAACUUUUAGUUUUAUGUUAGUGUACGUGUGUGUAUCAAGGGAGUUUAAUUUUGAUAUAUUUUUAAUUUUAGAUUUUAACAAUUUUAUUAUAUAUUAUUAUCAUAUAUAUGUUUUUUUAACAUAAUAUUUACAAUUCUUCCCGAACCCAUUAAUAGGAAAAUAAUGUGUUUUAGCGCAUUGAAGCCCACAUUUUUUUACACUAACAAUAAUAUUUAUAUCAAUCGAGUUAAAAUUCAAUCAGACAUAUCAAAAUGACUUUACAACCAAUCUUCGACAUAAAGCAUAAAUAAAACAUUUUUAUAUUAUUCUCCUACUAUACCUUUUCAUCCAAUAAAUAAUAACCAUAACGACCAAAAUAAAACACAAAAAAGAACUCGACAUAAACAUUUUUAAUUCUCAUAAAAUCCACAAAAAUUAUUCACAACAAUAAAUAUGUAAUUUCGAUAAUAUUUGAUGCGGCCAACCAAUAAGUAUUAGGUGUAAUGAUCAGAUAUAUUCUUAGAAAAAAAAUAAAUGUGCAAAACUUGUAGAUGACAUUGAUAGAAAUAAUAGCCACAAACUCUGAAUUGUAAGACAAACAUGAAGAAUUCAAAAACAAAAUUAAUAUUAGAAAUGGAUUGAUGGGUCAGACUAGUUAGAUCAGGAAUCAAUCAGUACAUCAGUCUGGAACAAGAUAAAGUUUGGAUUAACCUACCGAUAGAUCGGAGAUCGGAAACGGGUGAUUUGAUUUAAUCAACAAUAACAAAAAAAAAAUUUAAAUUAAAAUUAAAUUUAGAGUUUGGGUUUAAGGAUUAGAUUAGAGUAUUGAUUUUUGAAUUUAUUUAUAAGUUGAUUAAUAAAGUAUGGUGAUGUAGUUCACUCUGCAUCAAAUAUUGGUAGAAUAUAAUAAGUGAUUUUUAAAAAAAUACCCAAAAAUAAUCAGCUGAAUAUAUUGGGAUCUGUCUACUUUGAUACGGAACAUCAGCCGAUACCAGAUUUCUUGGUCAAAUAAAACAAACACUCUCAUCUCUUAAAAUCAACGGUCCAAAUGAAUCCACUCCCAAUUUUCAAUUAAUAUAUAUUUACUCUUAGCUAAACCCAUGUUCCAUUUUUAUUUCAUUUUUCACAUCCAAAAAAGAAGAAGUUUUCUUUCAUUUACCUCCAAAUGACAAAAAUAUCUUCGACGGCGACAAGUUUGAUUGAAGCAAAGCAAUUGUAUCAUUAAAAAGAUGUCUGGAUGUUUUCGGCCUUUCGGCUUUGGUGGAUUGUUAUUGCUGGCGGCAUUGACGGCGUCUAUGCUUGUUCUUCCGUUGGUGUUGCCGCCGUUACCUCCGCCGCCUUUGAUGCUACUGUUCUUUCCCGUUGGGCUUAUGGCGGCACUCGUGUUCUUGGCGUUUUCUCCGGCGGAGACUGUUGGGAAUGUGGUUGGGAAUACUUUGUAAGAAAACGAAUAUAGUGUAUGUGUGCUUUGGUAGAAAGGUGGUCGGCGAUUUGUUGGGCGGCGGGCGGCUCAGCUGAGUCUCUAUAGGUUGUUGAUUUUUGAUGACUUUUUUUUUUUUUUAUAAUUCUAUAACAUUUAUAUCACUUUUUCCUUGUUUAUUAUUAAAUAUGAAAUCUUUUUUGAGAAAGAAAAAAAUGGAGAAGUAUUGAGAAACAUAGAUUAAAAUAUUUAAUUGUGAAUAAUUCCCAUUUUCUUCCAUUUUUAUUGUUUAAUUGUGCAAAAUUCUUCCAUUAUGCAUGAAGUUUCAAGUAUUGUAUAUUUAUGUGUUGGCCGAAUGAUUACAAAUCAUCCUCUUUGUCUCCACCGAAAAUGUAAAGUAUGAUUUAGUUUCAAUUGAUUGCGAAUAAUUUCUUCUAUACAUCCACAUGAUGUUAAAUUUUUAGAUUAUGUAAUAUUAUUAUUUAAAAGUUCUAGAAAAAUUAGGACUAUCUUGAUAAAUAUGGAAAAUAAUCUUAAAAAUAUUUGUAAUUUUUAUAAGAUUUGAUUUUGUAAAUCUAGAGAAUUGAGUCAAUUCCUUAAUAAUCUCAAUUGUAGAUAGGCUUUAAUCUCGAUUGUCGAUGUAACUCAGCCUUCCUCCUCAUUUGUCUCCAUCUCAUCCCAUUCUUUCUUGAGUAAUAGAAUACUUUGAGAGUACUAGGUGUACACUAUUUUUUUUGUGACAUUUUUUGUUCUUUUGUUGCUCUUUCGUUUUGAGUUGCUUCCGCUUUAAUUUUCAGUGCCUUUGAGAAUUUCUAGCAAGAAUUCUCACUUUAAGAGAAUUAGGCUUAGGCAGAUUUGAACCCAAGAAAUCACCUAAGGUUGCAUGGAUUGUGAGACUAAAAUUUUAGUCCCGUGACAAUUGAUAUUAGAGCUAAGGUUUCGAAGGCGUCGUUCGAGAUGACGAAAGGAGUAGAAGAUCAAAUUGAGCCUAUAGAGACCCACAGAAAGUCUAGAAAAGCUAGCCGAUUGAGGGAUAUGCUGUCAGUUUUGGAAAAUGAAGUGAUCAAUCUCGAGGAGUUCAUGAGGGACAUGAGGGAGACACGUAAGGAAGUCAAAUGACACAUUGAUGAGAUGGACUCAAUGAAUGAGCAACUCAGAGACUUUGUGUUGGAGUCUCUUGGUUCCAUUGCAGACAAGUUGGCGAUAAGGGAUAAUGCAACAACAACAAAGAAAAGCAAAAAAAAAAAAAGAUGUCAAAAAGGAAAAGAAAAAGCAUAAAAAGAAGAAGAAGAAGAAGAAGGGUUUUAUCUUCAUUGCUCGAGUUCAUUUAGUGAGCUCUAGGUGGCGGUUCAUCGAUUCCUAAUGGUGAAAGGGUAACAAUUGAAGAGAUGAGCAACAUAUCAACAAACGAUGGCCAUCCAGUAGAGGGUUCAAGAGAUCGAAGUUAGGGAUUUUCAAAAAUAAAAGAGGGUUUUUUACGACCUUGAAGAGGGAUUCUUAGGAAAUUGAUUGGAGAUUCGAAGAGAGUAGGGGAAGAGGAGUAUUCUAGUGGUAUCUGAUCGAAGCUUUGAUGGUUAUAGAUGGCGAUGACAAUGAAUAGUGGCUAUCGAGAAAAAAGAGGGAAAAGAAGGGAGAAAGAAAAAGGGAAAUUAAAAAAAAAAGAAAUAAAAAAAUGAAAGGAAAAUACAUGGAAAAAAAUUAGGUGUAUUAUUUAGAGUGAUUAAAUUAAGGAAAAAUUAGAAGUGACCAUAGGUGUAGUUUGCUAAAAAAAACUCAACAAGGCAUCCACAUGGCCCAAAAAAAAACCAUAUUAGCUAAUCGUUGCCCAGUUAAUAGUUGAGUGACCUCAAUAUUCAAUGCGACUAACAUCAAUGGCCAAGUCAAAAAUUUUCACAUUUGAAUUACCGAAAUGAAAGCGCUACAACAGUUGUAUGAUUAUUAGGAUAAUUUACCUUUUAUACUUUUAGUUCAAUCUCUCCAUUUUAUAUUAAUUACUCUCUAGAUGUGGCUCAAUAAAAUGAAUAAUUCAUAAUUAUUCAAAAUACUCUAAGAUCACAUGCCUAUCAAAAUUCAAGGAACCUUUCAAAAUAAAAUAACACAGUAUCAAGUAUCUAUACUAUUAUUUAAAGGUUUGAUAGAGUUGGUGUCAACCAUCAACUAAGUCCCGACUUAAUUGUGAAUUUACUAAAAAUUCAUUAUUUUGUUAAAAAUAAAGAGUAUUUUAAGAGUAUUUUUUUAUCUUUUAUAUAAAAUCUAAGAAAACAUGCAUGAUGUGAUUUGAAACCAAAACAUCAAAAUUUUUAUUAUCUCAAUUUUAUUAUUUCAUUUAAAGCCACGUUUGAUUUUUAUAUCAAUUUUUUUUUUAUAAAUUUGUUACACCAUCUUUCACUAACAUAGUGGGUUAUAUCUAUGUCAAUGAUAUUGAAAAAUAACAUAAGAGGGGUCUAUAUUCCAUUAGGCAUAAUGCCAAAAUUUAGCCUUAAACGUUUACACUUUUUUUAAUUUGGCCUUUAUUUUUAUUAAGCUAAAAUUUCCCUUAAACCUUUAAAAAAGUCAUAUUUGAUCAUCAGCAUUUCAAAACGAGUAGAAUUGAUUUUUUUUUAAAUAGAAAUAUUGAUUAAAACAUUAAAGUUUUAAACAUGGCAACCCAUAUCAUAACCCACAUAGUAAUCCACAUAAUAAUAAAGACACGAGGAAAAAAGGGCGAAGCUAGAAAUUUUUUUAAGGGGGUCGAAAUUAAAUUGUAAUUUUUACAAUAAUAAAAAUGUAGUUUCACUAUUUUAAUAGCCUAUAUAUUUAUAAUUUUUAAAAGAUUAAAUCAAAUUUUUAUCAUUUUGGGGGGCAAAGUGUAAAGCUACUUUUAAUAAUUUAUAAAUUUUGAAUUUCCUAAAUGAAAAAAAAGUUAUUUUAAGGGGGACCGGGCACCUGUCAACCCUUCUCUAGCUAUGCCCUUGUAAGGAAAGAAGAUGCUCUAUUGUUGAGUCAAUUAUUCCAUUAACUAUUAAAAUGUUAUUAAUUUAUGAGAGUUAAAUUUGUAUGUGUUUUUAAUAUUAAAAAUAUGAUUUAUAAAUUAAAUUAAAUUUUAUAUAUAAUUUAUAUUUAUUAUUUAAAUGCUUUUAUAAUUUAUAUUUUAGUAGAUUUUAUUAAUUAUUUUGUAGUUAUGAUAUGAUGAUUCUCUUCGAUUACAAGUAGCACAAAACUCAACUAAAUGUAAGUAAUUGAGUCGAUUCCCACAUCGAUUAGUUAGUAACAUGCCACUCCGUGCCUUGGCUAUAAAAGGUGAGCGAAAACAAGGCAAGAAGCAUCUUUGCGCUUGGGGCAAUGACGCAGCUAGUGAGGUUCCAACCGAGGCGCGUCUAUUGCUGGUUGAAAACUAUUUCCAAACCCCCUCUUAGGCCUGGGUUCAGCCUUGGCCUUCGAGAAUUUCUGGAAGGGCUCCCUUCGGGGUAAAGCCCUACAAUUCCUAGUUAUCAAAGCUUUUUCUUAAUUGGGUCCUUGGCGAGUUGCUGGAAGGGCUAUCUUUGGGCUUAGUUUUUAUAGUUCUUUGUUUUGAAUGGGCUCAAGUUUUAGUGGAUUGUUAAAAUUGAGGAAUUAAGUUUCUAAAAAUUCUGUAAAAGAAGUAUAUUUUAAAUUGUUACGAAAUUCUUAACAUGAAAUUAUGGAAAUUUUAGUAUUAGUGUUAAAUGUUGCUAUUGCUAUUUGUUAUUUAACUUAUUUAAAGAUUUACAAUUCCAUGAGCUUGGGCUUCUAUUGUUGACAUAAAAACAUCUAUACGUUUGUGAGGCUUUCGCGAAGUUUCAAUAGUUUUCGCUUUCAGGAUAAAUUCUCCUGUUUGUGCAUCAUAAAAAGAACUACCAGGUUGAUGGAUCAUUACCCUGAUGAUAUAACAUAAUAAAAUGUUCUUCUAACUCGCAUAAUGAGGUGAGAAGAAUAGCUAAAAAUAGCUAAAGAAUAAUAAGAAAAAAAAAAGAUAGAAAGAACAACCGCACAGGUAUUUUUGUGCAUUGCAUACGGCUUUACAAUGGAAUUCAUUUUUUUCUUUCAUCGAAAAAAGAAAAAGAAAAUAUAGAGAGCAUCUAUUAGAUCCAUAUCACUAAAUAAUCCAAUUAUCUCCCUUCUUUUUUCUUUUUUUUUUGGAAAAUUUCAAAAAUACUAUAAUGGCUCCGUUGCUUUAUAUAUUUAUCUCGUCAAUGAUUCAGCAAUUCCAAAGUUUUUUUCAAAAAAAAGACAAAAAAAUAGUCUUUUUUUUCAUACUCUUUUAUUUUAUAACAUAAAUAUUGUUAUAAAUAUUGUUAAUAGCCUCUGGUGUGAAAAGAAAGAAGCUUGUGACGCUGAGAUAGGCCCACGACAGUUAAAAUAAAAUUGGAAAUGCCCUUUCUCUCAUACUAUUAUUGGCGCAAAUCCAAUAUUGGAAUUUAAGAUGAGAAAUAAAUUCCCCAUUGGUAGCAAAUGCUUAUCCAUUAAGCGGAAAAAUCCUAUUUAAAAAGAAAAAAAAUUAUGCUUCGACUCUUGCAAAGAACAGACUAACAAGGUUAGCUGCCCAAUUAAUCCUCAUCCUUACAUACCGUUGCUGUAUAAGAUAGGUCUCGUUGUAAAAGAUUUAUUACUAGAAAAUUUAUGAGUAGAGCCGAAAAGUGUGAACUGUAUAAGUUACCAAUUAAAUGAAGGAAUGAGCUUCGAUGUACAGAGAGGACCUCACCGUUUAAGAAGUAACCAUAGAAACGAUGGAACCCACUAUUUAUUUAUCCAUUUCUAUUUAUUCCUUUAUUUUAGUUAAUAUGCUUUUUUUAUACCUAGUAUCAAUACAAUUUCUUAUUUCAAGGCGAAAUGAAAUGACUAGAAAAAAAGAAAAAUUGUGGUCGGGACGGUUAGAGUAGCAAAAGCUAUUGGAAUUUUUAUUUUAUACAUUGGAAGAAUCUGUUUUGUUAUUAAUAGACUAGAAAAGAACAACUGAAAGAAAGAAUUAGUUAUUCAUCAAAAUUUUUUUUAUUCAAGGAUCAGAAUUAAACGGGAGAGAUAAAUCUUAAAAUUAUACAUUAAUUUUGAUUUAAAAUGUAAUUGUAUACAUAAACUUUAAUCUCGUGUAAUUAUACACAUGAAACUUUAAAAGAAUAAAUACAUCAAAUUAAUUUCAUGCAACUAUACAUGUGAAACUCUGAAAGAAAGAAAUACAUUUAUUUUUAUAUUGGAUAAAUAUAAUUAUUUAUGUAUACAAUAUAUAAAUAUAAAAUGAUGUUAUAUCAAUAAUUAUGUUGACAAUUUAAAAUAAUUAGAUCAAAUCAAAAUUUCAUGUUAAAGUGCUCAAGAGUCGUUACUUUCUAUUUUGUUGAAUCUUGAAUGCUUAAAGGGGAAGAUUAGCCCCAUGGGAUUGGAAUAGUACCGUUGAAAGACUAAAGCUUCCUAAAUGAGGCUUAUGAGGAACGUCAAAAAUGGAUGAAGCAUUUCAAUUUGGGAGGAUAAAUGAACCCAUGACCUUGAAAAUUUUCAAGUAUCAAGGAAUCCCUCUUGAGGGAGCCAACUACCGUGUUCUAUGAACUAAGAGAUCAAAAUCAUAAAUGUUGUCGAUUGGACUUGCUACAUCGGCUUUUUACUCAAUUAGAGGACAAAACUUUCAAUUAAUAUCCAUUAGGAUGCUAUAGUUAGCCAUUUCGAAUGAGAUAUAAGGUAUAAUUUGCGAAUGAACUCCUCAAUGGGAGAAGCGAAGGAGGGAACCUCUACUCAUACCACUAUCAGAAUAGGGCUAUGGAAAUCAAUUUGAAACCUCAAUACCAUUCUAGUGGUAGGUUUGGAUGGGCGAUUGGGUGCGAUGCGGUGCGGUGCGUUUAGCUUACUUUUUAUCUCACGCUAUAGUAUCGUUACAGUAUCUAAUCUCACCGCCACCGCUGUUUUUACACUAACCGCAGGUAAACGCACCGCUUAUCUAAACUUACCCUAGGAGUUAAAAUGUUCAUAUUGCUCAUGUGCACUAAUGUUAUAACUUCUAAAAAAAAUCUGACGAAACAACACAGAAGCUUCGCAAUGGAGUGUCAUAGAUACAAACAACUAGUGGAAUCUUCAGGACACAUAAUUUUCUUAUGUCCUUAUUUCACAAGCAGUAUGGAGGGCACCAAGCUUCUAUUAUUAUCUUUCUCUGAUUUGGUUUUUCCUUUUACGUUGAAUGGUGGAAUGAGGUUUCCAACAUGUUGAACCAAAACGGGUAAGGGUUUGAUCUAAGCCGUAACUUGCAAUUCCAUUUGGAAAGUUUGGAAAGGGAAUCAAAUCAUGUCCAAAGCAAGUCUAGAAACCAGAUAAAUUAAUGGCCCAAAGCAUUUCUCUUUCAUCGCCAUAGAAAGGAGUAGAACAUCCAUGGAGUACUACCUCUCAACUAUUGGUACAAUCAAUGUUAACAUGGAUGAUAGUUUUAGAAAUGUGAAUAGAAAGGAAAUAAUCAUAGACAUUGCUAGGGAUUCACGGGAAAAUAUAAUUAGUGGGACCAAUACACUAAUUCUUAGCUCAUCUACAUAAGUGAUUUAGUCUCGAAAAUGUUAUGGUUGUUUAGUUUUUGUCCACUUAUUGAAUCUGAUAUUUUGAGUGUAAUAUAUUUGUUUGUAAAUUUUAAUUUUUUAAUAGACUGAUUAAUAAAAUAAAUUCAUAGAUUACAUCAAUAUAAUUUGUAUAAUUGUCCUCAUAUGGUUUUUGUACGUAAAACAAAAUAGAAUCAAUAAUUUAUUGUUUGUCUAAUGUUUAAACUAAUACUAAACGAUAUUUCGUGGUCAAAUCGUGAUGCGGAAAGAUAAAUUAUAUUAGUAGAUGAACCUAAACAAGUCUUUAGUAUAAUUGGAAAUGGGCAAACUGAUUGAAAGACUAAUAUGUCGUCUAUCAAGUUCAACUGUGGAGAUGCUUGUCUUGGGCAUCAGAGUGAAUGACUCUCAGAAAUAGAGAUAAGGAUGUAACUGGCUAGACUACUAGUACAUCGAACAGGACCUAAGAAGAAUAGAUCCUGAAUUCGUUAAUGGAUUUAUUCACUUGUGAUGUUUAUAGUGUGACAUAACUAAAUACUGAGUGGAUGACGGACUACGUAUGCAUGACUUAUAUACUUUGAUAUAAGUAAAAACCUGAAUUCAGAUAGACAAUGAACUGAAAGCUGGUGUAUCGGAUAUACGACUUCUAUAGUAUGUAGCGUCAUUCACAAUAGUAGAAUUCAUAGUUCGAAACAUGGGUAAAUGAUAUCUUCUCAUUGACAUUACAUAGUUAGUGAAAAGCAAAAUCGCUUUAUAAAAUUAUUUGUUUUACGCACGAUACAUAAUCACAUCUUAAGAGGAAGGAACAAGGCAGUUGAUUAGGUGACAAAUAAAAUGUUCAAUGAAAAUUAUCCUCUAAAUAAGGAAAAGUCGAAAGUCAACUCUAAUUAAAGUGUUUGAACGGAUUAUGUAAUACAAAAUCUAAAAAUUCCAAUUAUCUAAAACCAAAUCGAAUUUAAAAUUUAUUUAAUAUAAAGUUAAUUUUAAUUUUUUUAUUAUAUAGAAAUACAUGUAAUUUAUUCAUGAAUAUCUCUCAUUACUUUAACAUAUUAUGUGAUAUCUUAUGUUGGAAUCUUACAGGUAGUUUCUACGAAUUACGAAGGAUAUUAUUGUGAUAUGUGCAGCAUAUUAUACAGUAAUGUACGGCAUAUCUUUUAUUAUAUCUUACAAAUAUAUUCGACUUGUCUAAAAAAGUUGAUUUUUCAUGUUCGUGGAACCUUUCGUAACCCCAAAAGGUCAAUAUUUGUGGUCAUGAUGGCUAGGAUCUCAAUAGUUAAAAUUGCCUGUAACACAACAUCAUAUUCAAUUACGCUUAAUAUACCAUUUAGUAUCUAAGUUUAGUUUUAAUAUUUAAUUUGAUACCUAACUUAUUUUUAUCCCAAUUUGAUACCCAAGUUUGAUUUUGUUGUUAAAUUUAAUAUCUAAACCAAAUGUCAUCACAUGGCUCGAUGAGUGUUUGACGCAUUUGCUUUAGUUAAAAAACGUAGGUACUUAAUUGGGAUAGAAAAAUGCUCAGGUAUCAAAUUGAAUAUGGAAGCCAAAUUGAGGUACUUAAUUGGGACAAAAGAGAACUUGAGUAUCAAUUUGAAAAAAAUCAAGUACCAAAAUUAACAUUAAAGCCUAACUCAGGUACCAAAUUGAAUAUUGAAUUCAAGUACGAAAUGAAAUAAAAAAGUUUAAAUACUAAAUUGAAUAGCAAAGUGAAAUUUAAAGUACCAAGUCUGUAAAUGUUAAAAAAUUGGAAACACAGACACCAUCUUUGAUUCUUUUCACGUUUUCCAAGUCAAAGAAAAUCAUAGCUAGAAGAUCUGUGGAGAUUUUAUAUUAUAUGUAAUCUACCGCAUCUUUACUUUCUCCGAACUGUCUGAUUUUCUCCAAUGGGGAUUUGCAUCUUUUGUUUCCCAUUCCCAUCCCCAUCCCUUUUAUAACUCACCUCCCAUUUCUCCUUUUCCUCAACAUUCCAAUCUUCUUUUCUGGGUGUAUUUUGCUUUGUUGAAUUCAUCAUAUCUUCUUCACUAAUCAUGGUUAUGGCUGCUUCCGAGACUAAAUUCCAUGUUCUUGCUGUUGAUGAUACCCUGAUUGAUAGAAAGCUCAUUGAAAAGCUUCUCAAGACUUCUUCUUAUCAAGGUUCGUUUCUUUUCUACCAAACAGGUUUUUCUUUUUCUACCAAACAGGGUUUGUUCUUAUACUUAUAUGGGUGGUGUUUGCAGUUACUGCAGUGGAUUCUGGAACCAAGGCAUUGGAGUUUCUUGGAUUGAACAACAAUGAUCAUCAAGAUGUUGAAGUGAACCUGAUCAUCACAGAUUACUGUAUGCCAGGGAUGACAGGCUAUGAUCUCUUACGAAAAAUCAAAGAAUCUUCAUCAUUCAAAGACAUACCAGUUGUCAUCAUGUCUUCGGACAAUAUCCCAUCAAGAAUCAACAGGUUUGGCCUCUUGAAAACAUGUUAUUUAAUCAAAGUUGGAUUCAUCAAUUUUAGCUGACAUGAAAUUUUAUUGAAAUCAGAUGCCUUGAAGGUGGAGCUGAAGAGUUCUUUUUGAAGCCAGUUCAAUUAUCAGAUGUAAACAAGCUUAGGCCUCAUUUGAUGAAAAGAACGCAAACAAAUGUAAACAAGAGAAAGGCGAUGGAUGAAAUUGUGUCCCCUGAUAGAACGAGGGCAAGAUACAAUGAACUGGAAGUGAAUUGAAUCACCAAAUUCAUCAAUAUUUUCUGAUUUAUUAUUAGAUCAUCAAUUAGGGAAAAGAAAUUCUGGACUCUCUCUUUGCUUAACCAAAAUCAGUGUAUAGGAAAGAGGAGAGAGGCUAUGUAAAUCACCAUAAGGAAGAAAUAUAGCUCAAUUUUUUUGAAAUGAAUUUCAUUUCAACAUCAAUUUAAACAGAUUGCUUAUUACAAUAAUUAAGGGAUGUUAUUUCAAUAAUGAACAGAGGAAUUCUAUGGUUUAGGGUUAGCAAUAGAACUGACAAUUUGGUCCGAAGUAGGAGGAGGAUUUUUCUUUUACGACUGUGAUUCCAACUCAGAUUAUAUUUAGAGUAUAUGAACAUCUGACUAAGAUAAUUUUUGUUCUCUGUUCGAGAAUUCUUCUCAAAGCUUGAGAUGAAUUAGAUUACAACUAUAUUUAUUACGAUGACUUACUAUAAGUAGAAUUAAACAUUACGAAGCAAAAAGCAAAUAUAACCUACCUAGAGUAAAAUAAUUCUGGAUAGGAUCUGGACGAGAUUUAAGCAAAAAUAAAUCUUUUUUUUUUUUAAAUUGACUUUUGGUUUUAAAAAAUAAAAAUUAAGGUUGCCACCAAUCACUUUUAAGAGGCGCGAUCGAGCCAUCUCGUAAUUUGAUCGUUUUAAUAAGAGGUCUGAUUUAUUAAAACAAUAUUUUUCGGUCUACAAAAAUCUAGAAAAUGAGUUUAGGAGUCAGUUACGCACGAGGAAGGAUUAACACCCUCGUCACGCCCAAAAUUGAUACCUAGCUGAUUAAUUGAUGUCUUAGUAUCGAGAAUUGAAAAUUUGAAAAUAGUUUAAAACACAACCCCACUUUGCAUCAUGUUAUUUUCAAUUUAAAAUCGCUUGAAUAAAUAAAAAAUGUAUGUAAAAGACUCUCUUAUCUCGAGGUAACAAAAGGUCAUAUCCCGUAAGUUAGGAUACGACAUCCCGAAUCCUCGAAAAUAACUUUGCUCUUUAUUGAAGUUACUAUUUAAAUCUCAUGUGUUUUAAUUUUAAAAGGAAUGUUUGGUCAUCUAAGUUCAAAGAGAAAGUCGAAUCCCGUAAGUUACGGCACGACUUUUCGAAUCUCUAAAUACGGAACAUUACCUUAAUUUUGGUUAUUUCUUAUAAGUCGUGUAAAAAACGGAUUCACUAUUUAAUAUGAUAUGUGAUUGAGCCGUAGUGAGGAAACAAAUAACUGUAUUUAAACCUAAGGGAAAAUAUAGUAUAGACUAAAUAAAAAUAAAAUGGCUACUCGAAUAAAUAGAAGAAAAAUGGAAAUGAUCAUAGUAAAAAAAAACAAUAAUAAAUAGGUAGCUGAGAUCACGAUAAUCUAAUAAUAAUAAUGCAACACAAAUUGAUCAUAAUAAUAACGAUAAUGGUUAUAAUAUGAUUAAUAUUUUAUUUAAUAACAUAAUAAAGAAUAAUAAUAAUGCAACAACAAUUUAUAAUAAUAAUGGUAUAGUAAUAUGCAUAAUAAAAUAUAAAAGUAUAGCAAUAAUAUUAAUAAAUCAUAAUAUUAAUAUGCAUAAAUAAUAAUUAUGAAAAUGAUAAUAUAAAUAACAAUAACAAUAUAUAAUAACAUAAAUUAUAAAUAAUCUAAAUUUUUGAAAGUUCAUAAAAAGUAAUAAAUAAAUAAAUAAUGGAAUAAUAAUAAAAAUGAUAAUGGCAAAAUAAAAAAAUACAAAAAACAAGCCAAUUAUAAAUAUAUAAAAAGAAGGAAAUAAUAAAAAGUGAAAACUAAUAAAAGUUUGAUUAAAAAUUGAAAAUAAAUAAAUAAAUAAAAAUAAUAAAUGAAAUAGUUUAAAAAAUAAAAAAAUUGAAGUUAAAUAGACUAAGGAUUUAAUUGAAAUCGGAAUGAAAUUAGGGGUACAAAUUGUACAUAAUAAAAAAAUAAUAAAACAGAAAUAAGCAUCAAUAUAAAAUGCACGAAAAGAAUUAGGGACCAAAAGGGAAAUUACCCCAAAUCCCUAAACUCGCCAUUUAACGAAGGACUAAAAGGAGACAAAAUAAAAAUCAAAUGGUAAUUUUUUUUAAAAAAGAAGCGAAAUAGGACUGGAUUGAAAUGCUAUUAAAAAUCGGAAGGACUGAAAGCAUAAAUAUACCAUUUAAAAAAACGGAUCUAGUGGGUCAGAUCGGGUCGGAUUGGGUUUGAAUCAAAACGACGUUAUUUUGACGUCUGAAAAUCAGCCCAAAACGUCGCUGUUCUAUACCACCUAUUUAAGUAAAAAUUUCCUAAAAAAUUUAAUUUUAGCUUGGUUUGAGAAAAAAAAAAUUAAAAACCCUCUUCUCUCUGAAACGCACCCUAGGGCUGGUCUUGGGCGCCGUAGUGGCUCCGCCAAUGCCACCGGCCUUCAGUGACGACGGCCGCCGCCCACGGUAGCCGGAGUCCACUAAAAAAACCAAUUUUGGCUACUUUCCUUCCCUAAACCCAAGAUCUGAGACCAAAAUCCUCAAAAAAAAAAACCCAACAAAAUACCCAAAAAGACUAAAAACUUUUCGAUUCUUAACUUCUCCGCCGUGGCCUCGGCCGGAAAUGGUAACAUCGGCGGCCCAUUUCAACAGUAUCAUACACAAAGUACAUAUGGUAAGACUCUAGACAGUCCCAAACACAUGGUAAGACUCAGGUCCUGUUUUUCUAUUGGAAAUUGUAGAUUGUAAAUUCAUUAGAUAUUAUUAAUGGAUCACUUAGUGUGAUUCAUGAGCACUUAAAGUGAUGAUUCAUUAAUCCAAUGGAUACAUUUGAUUUUCAUGAGUCAUAUUUUUUCUAAGAAGUAUGUCCAAUACGAAGGGUUGUGAUUAUUCUGUCAAUUGAGUGCAUAUCAAUAAAGGGAUUAUGGUUCUCAAAACAUAAUUAUUAUAAUCAGUCCAAUUUUAGAAAUUAGAGUAAGAGUUAGGUAAUUCCUCGAUUUACAAAUCAAAGUAAAUAAAAAAGUUUCGUUGUAUACUGGGAGGACCUUCGUCUUAACCUUCUAACAACUUUGUGUGAGGACAAAUUGUUCUCUUUGAAAAGCGUCACCCGUAUCUCAAAAUCUAUUGUUUUAAUUUCAUAUCAUCUCUGAAUCUAUUGUCUCCACUCAAAUUCUCCAUAUUUUCAAAUUCUCCAUAUUUUCAAGAUCCAAAGACUUCAAUUUUUGACUUUUUAGUAACGGAGACAAACUCUCAUUCACAAAAGAUUGGUUUGCGAUUAUGUGGUGCAUUUUUACGAGUCCACUAGCUCUAAGUGGAACCAAUAAUUGCUUGAAAGAUGAGAGGAAAAUAGGCAAGGAUUGGUUAGCAAUUAUGAGUGGAUUUGCUAUAUUCCCACUCUAGUGGAACUAAAACUUGAUAAUGGUCGUUUGAAUUGCAAUCAAUUCAUAGCUUAAAAUGAAAAGCAAGACAUGGUUUGUAGAAUGAUUAGACAUUUGGUUGGUAAUAACACUUGAGUGCAAAGUGACAGGUAUAAUUGUAUGCGUAUCACUUCAUUCCCCACAUUACAUUAGUAGAAUCAGAUUAUAUAUAUGAUGGCCAUUCCCUACCAACGGUGUGAAGUAAAAGAAAGCUUUUGAUUUGGCAUCUCUUAUUAUUCUUAUAUCUCCACAUGCCACUUGAUUCUACUAUUGAGAUUUAAAUAUAAUUUUCUGAUUUGCAGGGAAAGAGACCGCAUUUCCUAUUAUUAUUAAAUGACAACCUAAAACCAAUGGGCAAUUAGGUGGAAGUGCCCAACUAGAUGCAUACAUAAUACAUGGUCAGGCACAUGCAUGUUCAUGUGUGUAUGGAUGGUUCUUGUGCAGGCAGGCAGUGAGCAACUGGGUGGUUCCAUGAGUUGCCAUGAAAUAUAUUCAAAUGGAAGUGGUUCUUAUUCAAGAGCGAUUAAAUCAAAUAUUAAUCCAUGUCUAGAAAUAUAAUUUGGCUCUAAACCUUAUACUGUAUUUUCCUGUUUUAAACAUAAAUCCAUUUUAGUUCCUAGUUGGUGGUGGUCUUUGUUUCUGGCUUGUGCUGCUUGUAAACCACAAUCCUCAAUGGACACAUUGUUUUUUUAUUGGAACUGAUGCGUACUGGUACAAUUAUACAUCUGGUGCUUUCACAUCUAUGGAUCAUAAUUAUCGUCCAGUCAAAUGCUGUUUUAUUAGAUAAAACGAUUAUUGUUGGACAUUCUUAUUCUCAUUAAUAACAAUUGAAACCUCUAAACAUAGUAGACUUACAUAAACUUAUUUUAAA
rnacentral:lncRNA from 1 species